UUGCGUUAGGGAUUGUAGCGACAUCCUUUUGUGGAGCUUGCGAAGCGAAAGAUACAGCGCAAAGCCCGACCCUUU
rnacentral:sRNA from 1 species